AGCCGAGCAGCUUCGAGUGCCGCCGAGCCCGAGCCGAGCCCGAGCGAGCGCCACCGGCCGCAGCUACCGUGACAAGUGGUGCUUGUGGCUGUCAAUCAGAGGCAUGGCCCAAUCAGCGCCGCCCGCCUGGACCGCCCCGCCAUUCUCCAAGAGCGCACUGGGCCGCUGGGCCGGGAAAGGCGAGAUUGGGGUGUUGGUGGGGUGGGGGUGAAGUGGAGGCCACGCCAGGGCUGGGAGCCUCCGGACCGUGCUCUAUCUGCUGGGGGUCUUGUCAUUAAAAGGAAUGCCGGGGUGGUGCAGGCAGCAGGCCUCUGGGAGAAGUCCAUGUGGCCGCCUUGGUCUAGGGGUUUCUUCCUGCACCCCUGGGUUUUGGGAGGAGUUUUCCGCCCCUCGCGAGAGUUUUGUAUAUAAAACUGGGCCGUUGUACCAUGGAAGGGUGCUGCAGGCGGGUUUGGAGUGCUCGUUACCAGGCACAGGUGUUCCCUGCAGGGUGGGGAUGUUAAGUGCUGGCGAGGAUACUGCAUGCGAGCCGGGUUCUGCAGACGGGGUGGAGAUGCUGCUUUUAGGUUGGGGUUCUGCAUACAGCGUGGGUGCUAUGUGUAGGCUAGAGCUCUGAACGCAGGUAGUGUUCUGCAUAUGAGGCGUAAUGCUUCAUUCGGAGCGAGAGAGCUGUGCACUGCAGUACCCAGAGUGCCCUGGAUGUCUCUCUCCACCGGCUGUUUCUGUUCCCGUGAGAAAGGGACAGCAUUUUCGCGGUAUGCCAGUAGACACCAGUAUACUAGCAUCCAUGAAUUCUAGCAGAGGCAUUCUGCAGCAGGGCCCUCUGGUGCCUCCGAGACCUCAGCUGCAGACCUUUCUGUAUUUAAGAUAAGCCGUGAGUAAAGGGGUUUCAUGGUUUCCUGAGAAGCCUCUGAAAAGUGUAUGGCCUUAAGGCCAGCAGUGGAGGCAAUCAGACCUACAGCGACCCUCCUUUUCUUGCGUGAAACCCUUGUAUUUCCUUAAGAUAUGCUGUGGGAGGUGGUGGAAAAGGAGAGAUGAGGACCAGGCUCAGAACUUUACAGAUGUGGGCUAUACUUCCUGUGUACCUCAAUGGAAGGAAGCUGCAUUAGCCAACAAUGUUCCAGGUCAACAAGGUAUGGAAUGUCACCUUCUCCUUCAGCCACCUGCUUGCCCUUGCCCACCCUAGGUGUCACAGUGUGAACUUACAGAGGGGCCCACUUUUUCCAGCACUACCCAGGAAUACCAAUGGAGAGUAAGGACAUUGUGGCCUGUUCAUAUUUCCAAUGUAAGAAAGAACCAACCCUCAGAACAGCUUUCUCUUCAAAGAGCUGGCCUGAUCUUUGGAAGUGGUAGAUUUAGGGCCAGUGGGUACUAAGUGUUGUUCUGGAAUGAGCAGCACUGGCCUGCUAAUGGGGACACACAGGCAAUCACAGAGGGUGGGCCUCAGGCUGAUGCUGGCACCACUCGGGGCAGUGGUGAUUUUUCAGCAACACCUGAGAGUAUUUGGGACCUUGGAGUAGAGUAUUCAACCAGAUUUGGCCAGAGGUGAGCAGUAGAAGUAGAACAUGGGCAGGUGAGUGGGAGGGCCAAUGAUCCACAUAAGAAAGGAAAGACGAUGCCAAGUCCCUGUCUACUGGGGUCCCUCUGGUCACCUUGCCUCCCUGUCUACAUUCCCACCUUUCCAGUGGCCUUAGCAGCAUUUGGUCUGUAGCUAUCUUCAUCUGCUCCCCAAAACUUUUAUCUUCAAGACUGCUUUCUCCCUACCUGCAGUCUACCCUCUCUCUGCCUCUUGGUCUCUUCCCCUCUCUCUAGCCCGUUUUUUGUGUGUGCAUCUAGCCAACACCAAUCAACAAGCUCUCCAGGGUCAGGUGCAGAGCCUCUUCCCUUGGAUGUGCCCUCCAGGAACUGCUGUGUCCCUGCGGUACCUACAGCUUUGAAGCCCGAGCAAGCCACAAAGAAUUGAUGAAGAGCAAAACUGUGUCCAAGGCAAUUGAGCAAACACUCUCUGUAUAGAGUCAUCCCAGCCCACUAGUAACAGCUGAAGGAAGACAGAACGGAACCUCCAAUACUGUGGUCCUCUCUUGGUCCUGACCUGACCAUUUUCCAAGUGAUGCAGGAGGGUAAGGAGCUGCCUAUGGUUGUCAUGGCUGUGGAGUGUGCAUUGUACUGCCCCAUGUUUGUUCAUACACAGAGGAACGUGAAUCCUGUUUUACCCCAGCAAUGCGAUCCUUGGGCCUCCAACUCCUGCUGUGAAGAAGCUACAGGGCCCUGCCUUCCUGACCCCUUCCUCAAGGUCCAGGGUGGUAACCAAGUUGGGCUGUGAGCAGCUCUGAGGCUAGGUGCACCUCAGAUGUCAAGCCUUUUGUGGUUGAAUGUAGUAGUGAGGUCUCAUGUAGAAACUCACAGUCUUCCCUCGCAGGUCAGGGCUUCUGCAAAGAGACUGUAGUCCGGGCGGUUAGAAGGGUUAUAAGGUUAUAACCCUUCUAACCCUAAGGUUAGAAGACCCCCUUUCAAAGGGCAGCUGUGAGCAUGCUGGGGAGGGCAUCAAUGACCCAGCGGUUCUCCAGGGUUUGAACUUUCCUCUCCACCCUUGUCCAACCUCUGCUCAGUAGCCAUUGUCCCCCACUUCCUCAGUGGUAUCAUUCAGGGAUGAUGGCAGCAGCGAAGCAGCUGAAGGUCCCCCACAUCCUUUGGGGUCCAGCCCUACUACCAUCCUCAUCUUGAGAGCAAAGGCCAGGGACUUGCUCAUUGUUGAGGCCACCGUCCCUCCUUGUCUUCCUUAGCCCUGACCCUCUGGGAAGCCUGGGAUCCGCACAGUACCUCCUUGUAUUCAGGGUUCCCCGCCCCUGUAUAUCCCAUAAUCACCACUUGGUCUCUCCCCUUCUCGCUCUGAGUCCCCUACUCUCUGAGCCUUUCCCUAACAUAUACCAGUGUUAGGGUGAAUGCCAAACACACCCUGAGCACCUCCUGAGCAAUUGUGUCUAGGUCCUUCGCAAAGCCAGGGCCCAGAUGCAGGACCGUGGGAGGAAUGCUGUUCCCUGGCUUCCCCUAAGGCCCCAUCACAGAACCAACACCUUCUCCCCUGGAUAGGCACCAGUGCUGGCCAUGACCAACAGACCUGCCUGGCUAGUGCAGUCCACAGAGUGAUCCCGAAUUUGCACCUGACAGACCUUUGUGCUGUCGUGGCUAUAAGGAGAACAGGUCUCAGGUGGCUUCUCCAGCUGUGGCACAGGAACAGAAGGACUCUAAACUACACCCUGGAGUCACAGUGCUGAGCCACAGUCCAACUGUCCUGCACACCUGCUUCAACUGUAUACAUGCUUGUACUGCACAGUACCAAGCCUGAGGCUGUCGUUGGCUGUGCCACACUUUGUCUCUGGUGACAGACUAGGGCUCCUGCCACCCCUCCAACCCCAAUCUGGUGACCCCAGGCCACAGUCCAGACAAGCACCCAGUGCUGCUUGGCAGCUCUGCCCAUUUCUACUCCCCACAGCCCAUUUCCCCUCCCGACAGGUCUUUCAGCCCCAGUGUCUAGAAGCAGCAAAAAAGCAACUGACCUCCCUAUGACAAAGACAAAGAGCAGACCAGAAGGAAAAUUGAGAGCAUUUUAUUUUCAUUAAAACAUAUCGGAUACUAAGAAUUGUGUUUUCCUAAUCACAGCGCUGGGCUGGAAGCCAGGGCAUCUCUGCUGACGUCAGCUGUGUGUGGAGGCAGGCAGGGCCCAACCCACUUUUGGUUGAGAGCUCUCAGAAGUUGCUGGGAGCCGACACUUUCAGCGGCUGCUCCAUUUCCCUGUGAAGCUAGCACGGGCUAGGGUUUAGAGGAUUCAUCCCCCACCUGUGACUGAUGCUGUGACUCCUCUUGAUUGUAGAUUUCUGCAUAGCUUGCUAUCCCUCCAUAGUUGAGAGCGGCAGACACUGCUGCGUAUAGUGCCUGCCAGUGACUAGUCAGAGGGGUCCAGGACUACAGUAAGGAGCAGAUAUGCGAACAGAGGACCCGAGCUACCCAUCAGGUGGCUAUAGCCAAGGGCUCCUGGAGCCACAGGAUUCCUGAGCUCCUGGUAGAAUCCCAGGAGACGGAUGUUACUGGCAUCCCACCUCCUCACCCUGCAGAUUCUGUCUCUUGGCAAAAGGUCUGUUGGGGAGGCUGGGCCUAGAGUAUAGCAGCCACUUCACUCCUGUCCUUCCUUGGCAAUGAGGCUUGGCCCCUCAUGCCUACUGGUACCUCAGUUUGCAUAAAAUAGAUGAAUUCACGAGACUCCUCAAGGUUGUGGGGUGUGUAGUGCUAAGGCAAGGAUGUAGAGUGUGAGCUAGUCAACUGUUCUCAUUUGAAAAGAUCCAAAAACAACCACACACACACAAAAAGACUCUCUUGCCCCAUACCUGAGCCUGAAAAACAAUCUUUCUUAAAAUCAGAAUCUGUUUUCCUGGACAGCAAGACAGGUCCCAUGAUCAGGAUGAAGUACAAUUUAGAAUCUCGGUCCUAACUGGCUAGACUGUCCCAGCACAGGAGACCUGGAGUGAGGUGUUGUGGAGGACACUGUGGCAGGAAGCAGCCAAUGACUCUUUGUGAGUGGGUGUCCUCAACACCUAGUAGGCCAUGCUGUGAAACAGAUCUCCCAAACAGUGGCACAAAACAACUGUUUGUAACACUCAAGGAUAUGAAAAUCCAACCUAGCAGGCCCAAACUGGGAGACAAAAGGCUGAGUCUGGAAUCUUCAGAUGUGUUUUCGAAUGUUGCACUCUUUUCUUAAUCAUUUGGCUGGGGUCCUUAUGGAUAGAAAUCGAUGGGCAGGUAAGGAAAAGCUCUUCUAGUGCAGGUAGCCCCUAGCUCCUGAGUACCCAAGACCUAGGGGUGGGAGGACAAUACCCAAGCCUACAACUUGAGUCCUGAGAGCUGAGGGUGUACUGCACCAAGCUUUAGAAACUAGAGACUUAGGGUUCUCUACACAGCCUUAUUACCCUGCACCUUACCCUUCGGUGACCCCAGCACUUGGCAGCUGUGAAAUCCCAAGCUUCCAGCAGUAAUGAGUGGCAGCAGCGGGCUGAGAAGGCAGGAGGCUUAGUGCUAACCUUCUUAAAUGGCCUGCAGGUAACCCCAAGCUGCUUCAGUGGCUGGUGUUACAGAUGUCAGUCCCAGAAUGUCAGCUCCUUCACCCUUGAUUGUAGCUGGAGUUACAGCUGUCAGACCAAGGGGGUCUGAGGCCCUUGACCCUACAGCUUAGCAGCUCCCUGGAACUUUUUUUCUGGCAAGACUGUAGUUUCUUAUCUUUAGCAUCUGCCUGCCUGCCUUCCUUCU